rnacentral:ribozyme from 13 species
AAAAAUGAACCAAAAAAGCAAUUGCAAAACAAACAAAAACCAUCACUCACCUUCGUAAAUAUAAUAAAAAAGAUUAUUAUUUGUUGUUUUUGCGUUUCCCCCCUUUUGUUUGUUGUGUAUUAUUAUUUUAUUAGUACGAUUUUUGUCGAAUU